AAAAAUGUCUUACUAUACAAAUGCAUCUGCCGAAAGCUCUUCAAACGAAGAUCAUGAAACUGAAAGUAUAUCUAUCGCAAAACCUGCCAAAGUAAGCAGUAAUAAAA